rnacentral:rRNA from 1 species
GAUGAACGCUAGCGGCAGGCCUAAUACAUGCAAGUCGAACGGUGGUAGCAAUACCAUAGUGGCGCACGGGUGCGUAACACGUAUGCAACCUACCUUAUACUUAGGGAUAGCCUUUGGAAACGGAGAUUAAUACCUAAUGGUAUAUUUAGCUGGCAUCGGUUAGAUAUUAAAGAUUUAUUGGUAUAAGAUGGGCAUGCGUCCAAUUAGUUAGUUGGUGAGGUAAUGGCUCACCAAGACGAUGAUUGGUAGGGAACUGAGAGGUUAAUCCCCACACUCGGCACUGAGAUACGGGCCAGACUCCUACGGAGGCAGCAGUAGGGAAUAUUGGGCAAUGGAGGCAACUCUGACCCAGCCAUGCCGCGUGCAGGAAGACGGCCCUCUGGGUUGUAAACUGCUUUUGUACGGACGAAAAGGUUUCUAUUAAUACUAGGAGCUCAUGACGGUACCGUAAGAAUAAGCACCGGCUAACGUACGUGCCAGCAGCCGCGG